rnacentral:lncRNA from 1 species
ACGCCACACUGGGCGCACUCCUGCUGUGUCCGCGGGUCCAGCAGCCUGAAGCGCAACUCAUACUGCUCCGAUGUGGCCGGCUGGAUGGUGACGAACCAGCGCAGCCGGGCCCAGUCCUGGUGAGCCGCAUAGUCCCCUCUGUGCAGGGUCAACAGUCACUCCUGUUCACUGCUGGGCACCAGGGGCCAGUUUGUGCUCAGUCUUGCUCAACCCUGUUUGUGGCCACCAGGGCAUGGGCAGUGAACACUUUGGCUCUGUUGU